AGACCCGAAACCCGGUGAUCUAGCCAUGGGCAGGUUGAAGGUUGGGUAACACUAACUGGAGGACCGAACCGACUAAUGUUGAAAAAUUAGCGGAUGACCUGUGGCUGGGGGUGAAAGGCCAAUCAAACCGGGAGAUAGCUGGUUCUCCCCGAAAGCUAUUUAGGUAGCGCCUCGUGAAUUCAUCUCCGGGGGUAGAGCACUGUUUCGGCUAGGGGGCCAUCCCGGCUUACCAACCCGAUGCAAACUGCGAAUACCGGAGAAUGUUAUCACGGGAGACACACGGCGGGUGCUAACGUCCGUCGUGAAGAGGGAAACAACCCAGACCGCCAGCUAAGGUCCCAAAGUCAUGGUUAAGUGGGAAACGAUGUGGGAAGGCCCAGACAGCCAGGAUGUUGGCUUAGAAGCAGCCAUCAUUUAAAGAAAGCGUAAUAGCUCACUGGUCGAGUCGGCCUGCGCGGAAGAUGUAACGGGGCUAAACCAUGCACCGAAGCUGCGGCAGCGACACUGUGUGUUGUUGGGUAGGGGAGCGUUCUGUAAGCCUGUGAAGGUGGCCUGUGAGGGUUGCUGGAGGUAUCAGAAGUGCGAAUGCUGACAUAAGUAACGAUAAAGCGGGUGAAAAGCCCGCUCGCCGGAAGACCAAGGGUUCCUGUCCAACGUUAAUCGGGGCAGGGUGAGUCGACCCCUAAGGCGAGGCCGAAAGGCGUAGUCGAUGGGAAACGGGUUAAUAUUCCCGUACUUGGUGUUACUGCGAAGGGGGGACGGAGAAGGCUAUGUUGGCCGGGCGACGGUUGUCCCGGUUUAAGCGUGUAGGUGUGUGUUCCAGGUAAAUCCGGUUCACUUUAACACUGAGGCGUGACGACGAGGCACUACGGUGCUGAAGCAACAAAUGCCCUGCUUCCAGGAAAAGCCUCUAAGCAUCAGGUAACAUCAAAUCGUACCCCAAACCGACACAGGUGGUCAGGUAGAGAAUACCAAGGCGCUUGAGAGAACUCGGGUGAAGGAACUAGGCAAAAUGGUGCCGUAACUUCGGGAGAAGGCACGCUGACACGUAGGUGAAGUGAUUUACUCA
rnacentral:rRNA from 3 species